CUCCCAUAUGUCCCUAGCGGUGUACCUCUGCAUCCUCCCUCCCUUCCUCCCCCCCCUGGUUAGCUACCCCAGACCCAGCAGACAGACGAAAGCGGGUGCACUAAUAAGUCGCAUCUAAUGGCGACAUGUUUCGUCGAGGAGAAAAGGACAGGGAGACGAAGGUGACGCAUGGAACGAAAUUGCAAGUGCAAGGGCGGCUGUCCGCGCGCGCGUCCAAUGGCGCGACGGCCGAGUUGUUUAGGGACACGCCUCUAGUAAUCCGCGUGCUUUGUCAUUUCCUGCCAAAGUUACACGGUUCGUUACUGACAGCACUGGUAUAAACCAUGGAUCUUACUGGACAGUCUGCUGCCAAAGUUACAGUUUUAUGGGUACCGCGAGAUUUUUGCUGUUA